GAAAUGCGAUAAGUAGUGUGAAUUGCAGAAUUCAGUGAAUCAUCGAAUCUUUGAACGCACAUUGCGCCCUUUGGUAUUCCUUAGGGCAUGCCUGUUCGAGCGUCAUCUAAACCUUCAAGCCCUGCUUGGUGCUGGGUGCCUGUCCCGCCUCCGCGCGCGGACUCACCUCAAAUCCAUUGGCGGCCCCCGCGUCGGCCACGAGCGCAGCAGAAACGCGAACUCGUGAGCCCGCCCGGGCGGCUCCCAGAAGCUACACCCACCCAGUUUGACCUCGGAUCAGGUAGGGAUACCCGCUGAACUUAAGC
rnacentral:misc_RNA from 1 species